rnacentral:rRNA from 1 species
AAUCAACGCUGGCGGCGUGCCUAACACAUGCAAGUCGAACGCGAAAGUCCCGCAAGGGAUGAGUAGAGUGGCAAACGGGUGAGUAACACGUGGGUGACCUGCCUUCGAGCGGGGAUAACGUCCCGAAAGGGACGCUAAUACCGCAUGACAUCCUGCCUUUGAAGAGGUGGAGAUCAAAGCUGGGGAUCGCAAGACCUAGCACUUGAAGAGGGGCCCGCGUCUGAUUAGCUAGUUGGUGGGGUAACGGCUCACCAAGGCAACGAUCAGUAUCCGGCCUGAGAGGGCGGACGGACACACUGGGACUGAGACACGGCCCAGACUCCUACGGGAGGCAGCAGGUGGGGAAUUGUUCGCAAUGGGCGCAAGCCUGACGACGCAACGCCGCGUGGAGGAUGAAGACC